UACAGAGGUCCCAAGCGUUGUUCGGAAUUAUUGGGCGUAAAGGGCGCGUAGGCGGUCGUGACAAGUCACUUGUGAAAUCUCCGGGCUUAACUCGGAACGGUCAAGUGAUACUGUCGGACUAGAGUACAGAAGGGGCAACUGGAAUUCUCGGUGUAGCGGUGAAAUGCGUAGAUAUCGAGAGGAACACCUGCGGCGAAGGCGGGUUGCUGGGCUGAUACUGACGCUGAGGGGCGAAAGCGUGGGGAGCAAACAGG
rnacentral:rRNA from 1 species